rnacentral:rRNA from 1 species
UACGUAGGGGGCAAGCGUUGUCCGGAAUCAUUGGGCGUAAAGCGCGUGUAGGCGGUUCGGUAAGUCGGCUGUGAAAGUCCAGGGCUCAACCCUGGGAUGCCGGUCGAUACUGCCGGACUAGAGUUCGGAAGAGGCGAGUGGAAUUCCCGGUGUAGCGGUGGAAUGCGCAGAUAUCAGGAGGAACACCAAUAGCGAAGGCAGCUCGCUGGGACGUUACUGACACUGAGGCGCGAAAGCGUGGGGAGCGAACAGG